GCUCGAGUGGCGAACGGGUGAGUAUCACGUGAGUAACCUGCCCUUGACUUUGGGAUAACUUCAGGAAACUGGGGCUAAUACCGGAUAGGAGCUCCUGCUGCAUGGUGGGGGUUGGAAAGUUUCGGCGGUUGGGGAUGGACUCGCGGCUUAUCAGCUUGUUGGUGGGGUAGUGGCUUACCAAGGCUUUGACGGGUAGCCGGCCUGAGAGGGUGAACGGCCACAUUGGGACUGAGAUACGGCCCAG
rnacentral:rRNA from 1 species